UACGUAGGGUGCAAGCGUUGUCCGGAAUUAUUGGGCGUAAAGAGCUCGUAGGCGGUCUGUUGCGUCGGCUGUGAAAACCCGGGGCUCAACUCCGGGCCUGCAGCCGAUACGGGCAGACUAGAGUUCGGCAGGGGAGACUGGAAUUCCUGGUGUAGCGGUGAAAUGCGCAGAUAUCAGGAGGAACACCGGUGGCGAAGGCGGGUCUCUGGGCCGAUACUGACGCUGAGGAGCGAAAGCGUGGGGAGCGAACGG
rnacentral:rRNA from 1 species